AUGGACGCCCCGCAAAAGAAGGCUAGAUCCAUGGACAAGGACGGCAAGAUGCCUCCGCUGCCUCUGACUGUGGGCAAGAAGAAGACGGCGUCUCCGUGCCCGGAUACUGUCCGGCUGGUCAGCCAGUGGACACUCUCCACCGCCUGCUUCUUCCUCGUCGUCUUUGCAGUAACCCAGACUCUCGACCACUACCACGUCCCCGUUCCCUGCAGCCCGUCCUCGCUCGUUCUGCGGUGCGUCGAGCUGACGGACGCGGGGGCCGUUGAGGCAGCCAACGCCGCCGCGGAAAGCGCCGGCUGGAUCGGGAUGCUGUGGUGCGGCACGGCACAGGCGGCCGCGGCGGCGCUGGCGCUGCAUCUCCCAUGCCGCUACCGCCGGGUCCGCCGCGCCCUCGCCUACCUCGCGCUCGCGCUCGCCAUCGUCGGCCACAGCUUGUACGCCCGCGCCACCGUCCUCCUCUACGCCGCCGACCCAGGGUCCCUCUUCGCGGUGAUCGGCUGGACCCUGAUCAUAGCCUUCUUGGCGGUGGUCGACCUCCUCUGCUUCCUGGUCCUCGUCAUGGGACGUGAGGCGUAG
rnacentral:rRNA from 1 species